AUUGAACGCUGGCGGCAGGCCUAACACAUGCAAGUCGAGCGGAGCGGCGGACGGGUGAGUAAUGCCUAGGAAUCGGCCUGGAAGUGGGGGAGAACGUCCGGAAACGGGCGCUAAUACCGCAUACUAGCAGAGGAGCCUAGGUCGGAUUCGCUAGUUGGUGGGGUAAGGGCCUACCACGGCGACGAUCCGUAACUGGUCUGAGAGGAUGAUCCGUCACACUGGAACGGAGACACGGUCCAGACUCCGACGGGAGGCAGCAGUGGGGAAUAUUGGACAAUGGGCGAAAGCCUGAUCCAGCCAUGCCGCGUGUGUGAAGAAGGUCGUCGGAUUGUAAAGCACUUUAAGUUGGGAGGCGUUACCAACAGAAUAAGCACCGGCUAACUUCGUGCCAGCAGCCGCGGUAAUUC
rnacentral:rRNA from 1 species